rnacentral:lncRNA from 1 species
GCUGAUAAGUUGAAUGUUGAGAUUGUAUCUAAAUAUAGUAACCGCACUUCUUGAUCCCAAGAUUACUUUAAAAAUUUCAAGAAGUAGAUGUGUGCAAAUUCUUAGUGAUAAUUAAGAAUGAAAGUUCCAGGCUGGGCAAAGUGGCUCACACCUAUAAUCUCAGCACUUUGGGAGGCUGAGGUGGGUAGAUCACUUGAGUCCAGGAAUUUGAGACCAGCCUGGGCAACAUGGCGAGACCUUGUCUCUGCUAAAAAGUUAGCUGAGCAUGGUGGUGCUUGUCCAUAGUCCCAGCUACCUGGGAGGCUGAGGUGGGAGGAUAGCUUAAGCCCAGGAGGUUGAGGCUGCAGUGAUCCAAGAUCAUGCUGCUAUACUCCAGCCUUGGCUACAGAGCAAGAUCCUGUCUCAAAAAGGAAGUUCAUGUCAUUUUUAUGUAACAAUCCAACAUUUGACUAGAGCAGUUUAAGUGUUCUGUUGUCUGCCUUUGUGUAGAGCCUGGUUUAUCAGCCUUCAGCAGCUAGCUUGAGAGAGAAAAGAUGGAUAUACUUUCAAGCAUAAGAUUGAUUUUAGUCUUUGUGUUUCUAGGCUAAUGGGAGCUGUCCUAGAGAUAGAUACUAUAUAAAAUGAAGCCACUCAGACUUUAGGAACAUAAACUUUUAUUGUCAUCCAGCACCUGUGAUAGUUUCAUGUCUCUCUAAAGGAGACAGGAAAUUGGAGCAUUGUGGGCCCUUUUAAAAGAAAAGAGGAGUAGGUAGGCACACCCAGGUGCUUCUAAAACAACCAAGCCCAAACCUGACAUGCUCCUCCCCACAGUCACCUUCAUUGUCCCCUUUAAAAGUCUGGAACAGUAUGUAGCAAAACAAAUAAAUUACUUUUCAUUUCAAAAAGUAAGUUCAAAGGUUGAAGCUGCCUAGGCCAGGCUUCUGGACAGGUGCCUCCAAAGAAGUGAGCUUUCCUUUUCAACUUCCUUAGCUCUAGCCAGUAGACCAGAAACCCCUGCUUUCCACAUCAGGAUUCCAGAUGGUGUUUAGUUAGAUUUGGGAUCCCGUUGCUUGGGCAUCUCUCCUCCAUCUUCCAAAUCCAUUUCUGCAGCAACUGACAUACACAGGACCUGGAGGUACCUUGUGGCAGACCCUACAAAGAGAACUUUGAGUUGGAAUUGAGAAGAGGUCAGCUGGGCUGAGUUCAAGUGUCACUGAAUGGAACUCAGUGUGAGGGGAGUGAUUCCACUAAGCCGAAGGGUUCAUAAGAAGGGGCUAAGGCAAAGAUGUCUUUGGAGGCUGGAUUUACAGAAAAAGGCAAAAACCAAGCUCUGCAAUAGCUGAGCGGACUUAAGGAUGCACGGCUUACCCACGAUCCUUCGGAGGUAAAGCGGUCGCUUAUGUUCUGGCACUCUGAUGAUGAGGAAGUAAAAGGGCAGGCCUGAGAGGGCAAUGGCAAUGCCGAUGAGGGA